UCUUUAUUAUAUUAUUAUAAUUGAUUUUUUUUUGAGACAGGGUCUUGUGUAGCCCAGACUGACCUCAAACUCACUAUGUGGCUGAAGAUGACCUCAAACUCCUGAUUCUUGGCCUUACCCUCCCAAGUGCUAAGAUUAUAAGCGUGUGCCAACAUGACUAGUUUAUUCAUAUAAGGAUUAAAUGUAGGGCUUCAUGCAUACUAGGCAAGCUCUCUGUCAACUGAGCUACCUCCCUAGCCCCUACAAUUGACAACUAACAUGGCAGCUAACAUUCAACUGAAACAAAAUUCUUCAGUCCCAUUAUUUACAUAUAACCAGUACUGACUUCCAGCAGGUAAAACCUCUCCCUAUCAGAUCAUACAUAGACUGUUUUCAAAAUAUUUUCUAAUCCAAUUUUCACAGAUUCGUGAAAGGCUCAAGAGCUUUAACAUACUGUAAAUACUCUUAAAUCAAUCCCUCAUACCCAGAAGAGUAUCUGGAAGACAUAGGAAUUCCUAGCCUGGUGGGUUUUGAUUUUUGACUUGGUGUUGAUUGAACCCAAGUUUUCAUGUUCACAAAGCCUGUAAUGCCCCUUAUCUAUCUCUAGACUGUAUUUGCAGCUCACUCACUUUAUUAUACAUUACCCAAGGCAUAGCAUUUCAAUCUGAAAACAACUUCUCCUUUCCCCUGGGUAAGGAAAAAAUCCUCUUACACAUUUCUGUAUUAAACGACACUGCAGAGCCCAACAGUAAGACAGGUUCCUAUCUGAAAACAUCUGCACUGGAGAUCUCAAGCUAACAGGAGGCCUGAGGUGAUGUGUGAUGUAUGCACUAGUGCACCAGAGGCCUGAGGUGAUGUGUGCGCUAGUGCACCAGAGGCCUGAGGUGAUGUGUGAUGUAUGCACUAGUGCACCAGAGGCCCGAGGUGAUGUGUGCGCUAGUGCACCAGAGGCCCAAGGUGAUGUGUGCGCUAGUGUACCAGAGGCCCGAGGUGAUGUGUGCGCUAGUGUACCAGAGGCCCGAGGUGAUGUGUGCACUAGUAUACCAGAGGCCUGAGGUGAUGUGUGCACUAGUGUACCAGAGGCCUGAGGUGAUGUAUGCACUAGUGCACCAGAGGCCCGAGGUGAUGUGUGCGCUAGUGUACCAGAGGCCCGAGGUGAUGUGUGCACUAGUAUACCAGAGGCCUGAGGUGAUGUGUGCGCUAGUGUACCAGUGUUCACUGGCAGUAGAGGACAGGGCUGAAUUGUCCUGGGACCUUUUAAUCCCACCCAAGCCCAACCUCUCUUAGGGUUGGCAUUGUUUUGAGGAGGCUUGAAGAGAAAAUGAGUAAGAGUUUGCAACUUGAGGUUGUAUAAGCAGAUUGGAGUUCAGCUAAUGUUUCUAUUUAAGGUCUCUAAUAAACAGUGCAUUUUAUAAAUCUUUGAAGUGCUCCCCAUCCCUUUUGGUGACAGGGUCUUGCUACAUGAGACAGGUUAUCCUUGAUCCUCCUGUCUCAAGUAUCCUUUGUUGGUUUUCCCCUCAUACAUCUUUACUGUGUGUGAAUACACAUACACAUGUCCUUGUGUGUAUAGAGGUCAGAGGAUGACAACUUGAGAGAGCUGGUGUUCACAUGGUUCUGGGGACCGAACUCAGGUCUUUAAGUUUGGUGAUAAGCGCUGUAACCUGGUGAACUACUUCAUGAGCCCUAAAGUGCCUGGCCUUAAAAUAAUCCUCCAGUUCCUUGUCCCCACAGGAGGAAAAAAAAAUCACCACUUGUUUUCUUUCACUCUUAAAACUGC
ensembl:lncRNA